UUGACGUAGGAAGACUAAAGGUUUCUACAUCUACAUACAUUGUUACAUCAUAGUGUCAGACUUGACAAUUCUAUGACGGUGCACAAGAAUAAGAAAAUGUGUAGAGAAACUGACAGAAAAAAGUACAUCUUAUGUGUUCCAGUUCAGCCUACACCUUCCUUGCCUUCAGUCAUUACAGCUUCACAUAGAAUAUUGGCAGUUUUCACAUGUUGAUGUAUGAACAUGACAGUGUUUGUUUUCCAGAACUGUGAAAUGUAUAUGUGUCAUAUAUAAACGAUCAACGUAGUUACUGAUUCUGUAUGUCUGAUUUUGUAUACCUGAUCUCCGUUGAAUUCUGAUCCCAGGUUCGGCGGUUAGGUCAGCCUCCACCAGUAUAUCUUAACGUUGUGUAAUAAGAAGUUUGUUUGUUUCAAGUAUACUGUAUUAGGCCUCUGUUCACAGGGCCUCCACAUCUGCAUUUUAAACAUAUACUUUAUAUCAUAUGUAUUUGUAUAUUGACAUUUAUGUGAAGCUGUGACCAAUUUCUGCCAACCAUUAAUUUAAACGAAAUUAGAUAUUAAUUGCUUGCUUUAGUAAAAUUGUUAAUAGUAAAAGUAAUGUAUUCAUAUAA